CUACGGGUUGCUGCAGUAGGGAAUCUUAGACAAUGGGGGAAACCCUGAUCUAGCCAUGCCGCGUGAGUGAUGAAGGCCUUAGGGUUGUAAAGCUCUUUCGCUGGGGAAGAUAAUGACGGUACCCAGUAAAGAAACCCCGGCUAACUCCGUGCCAGCAGCCGCGGUAAUACGGAGGGGGUUAGCGCUGUUCGGAAUUACUGGGCGUAAAGCGCGCGUAGGCGGGCUAUUAAGUCAGGGGUGAAAUCCCGGGGCUCAACCCCGGAACUGCCUUUGAUACUGGUAGUCUUGAGUUCGAGAGAGGUGAGUGGAAUUCCGAGCGUAGAGGUGAAAUUCGUAGAUAUUCGGAGGAACAUCAGUGGCGAAGGCGACUCACUGGCUCGAUACUGACGCUGAGGUGCGAAAGUGUGGGGAGCAAACAGGAUUAGAUACCCUGGUAGUC
rnacentral:rRNA from 1 species